GUCCCCCAAUGAUGUCAGCACUGGGCUCUGAGUACCGUGAAGUCAUGUGUGCCUCCUGGGGACUUGACACCCCAGGAGACUGAGGGGGUU